ensembl:lncRNA
ACAGUGUUCAUACUGCACAGAUAAGUAGCCUUAGUCUUAUUUUAUGUGACCUGCAUGGUUCCCAUCUCGUGUCACAUCACGGUGCCGCUUUCAGCUCUGUGAGAUGUGGAAUUGCCCAUUUUAAGGCCAUUCUCUGUGGCACAACUAUUAAAUCAUAAGCAUAGUAAUGGGAGAGAAUAUGUUCACUGAGUUCCCUGCAACAGCAAGAAGGGGAAAGGUUUGGAAAGUCCAUUAAAAAAAAGAGGUCCUGAGCAUGGUCAGACAGCAACCUGCAGUGGGGUGGACUAGGGUGUGAACUUAGCAGUUUCCAUUUUCUUACAGCUGGUAAUUGUCCAGCAUCCUCCCUGCACCACCCCCAGCCUGGUGUUUUGUGUAUCAUUCCAGUCAGAUUGCUGAGGAGAGAGACAAAGGACAGAUUCCAGGAUAAAAUCAAAACUGCUCUGGAAAUGCACUGUAUGUGGCAGCAUUUGGAACAACAGUGAGAGGUUAAAAAAAAAAGAGUUUGACUCUAACCCAAGAAUCAAAAUUAAUGUCAGAGAAUUUAAUGCAACACAAGGUGUGAUGGAACAAAGACUGUUGGGGGGUCUCAUUUUGCUCAGUUAUGACAAGCAUUGUUCAGCACUUUAGAAGAAACAACAGUGUAAUGGUUUUCACCGAAUUGUAUGAAGAAACGGGAAAACUUUAACAAAUAUCACAAAACAUGUCACAAAUCAAUUGCAUUGAAAAUAUAUUAGGUUUCUUUAAAAGAAAAGAUCAGAAAAGGAAGCAGCACAAGCAGGAGGAGAGACAGCACACAAAGAUUUACUUCUGAGUGCUACAAAAUAUUGAACUAAAAAUAACAUUAAAGAUGAAAUUUGCAAUGAAUCUCAAGCUGCUAAAUUCCCAAAGGCUGGGUCUGCCAAAGGCUCUGUUGGUUUCCUCUGUUCUUUUCUGUCUUUAUUUAAAUAUUUUAUACAGUUGUCUAUGUUCAUGUGUAGUGCGAACUGUCAUUUAUAUUUCAGUCCACUCUAAAAUGGAUCUUAGACUAUCUCAAGCUGUGCACUGCAGCGAGGAGUUUGGAACUGAGAGAAAAAGCGAUGAACAUGUAUCAGAAGAGAAAAUCAGCUGCUGCUUGGUAAGUACCCUAUGAUUUUUUUUGACUGCUGCCAUUUGGGCCCUACCAAGUCCAGUACUUACUGUGUUGAUCAGCAUGCUGGCUCCUUUUUUGUUACUAUAUCACUCAAAAAGACAGUCUUUCUUAGAAAAACUAAAACUGUGCCAAUGCAAUACCAUCUCUUCAGAAAUAUUUUUAUUAAUUCAUUUACAUUUCAAGCUGGAGCUAAAUCAGUAUGUUGAUGGAGAGAAUUCUUGGUCCAGUCUUUUCGUGUUGGAGGCAGAAGAGAUCCCUGGAGGAGUGACACUGGAUGCUGUUUUUCUCCUAGUUUUGUAGUCAAUCAUUGGAUAGUGCAAUAUUAGGUGAAGCAAAUCUCUAUAUAUUUCUGCUAAUUGGUUUUAAUUCUUAUUUUUGUUGUUGAUUUAAGAGUAGUAGCAGUAGUAAUAGCAGAGGUAGGAGUAUUAUUGGCAGCCCCUGUGUCCAAAGAGCUCAUUAAAGGACAGCACUCUGGAGAUGAUGCCCUAUCUGACUGGAAUCAGCAGGACACAGGAACUACGUCCCAUAUGAUGAAUAACAAAAGAAAGGGUAGUUUACAUUCUUUGAUUCAUUUCUGCUCGAUUAACCCCCAGUGGGAUUUUACCCCUCCAGUCACAUUUUUUUGUUCCUCUAAUCUUCUUUUGUAUUUGCUCACUGACCCCAAGCAUGUAUUUGACUUGUGACCCUAUUUCUGUUAAUAAAAUACAGGCCAUCUGACCA